UGGAUUCGAUUCGCGAGGUGAACCCCGGGAUUAAUCUUGUGGUUCCUAGUACUCUGCAGCAAUUGACUCCGCAUGAUGCAUCUAGUGCACCAAAUCGAAAUACUGCCCAAAGUGGACAAUCUUCAAAAUCAUUUAAUCAGGUGGUUGAUGACGAUGAGCUACCCCGGGAUGAAUGAAGUAAGGACUAAUGUUGAUUUUAUGUAUCUAUUGCAACUUCUAGAGAGCUUUCAAAUUAAACGUUUGUUAAUUAAUUAGCUAGUGAACUUUCAUUUAUAAUUAGUUAGUAUUGACACUUCCUUUACUUUUGUAAUGCAACGAAUAUAUAUUAUAUGUACUUCGUUUAUUUUGUAAUGCAACGAAGAUAUAUUAUAUGUA